rnacentral:tRNA from 1 species
GCGGGGGUGGCCGAGUGGUCAAAGGCGACAGGCUCAGAACCUGUUGGCUUAGUGCCUUCGUGGGUUCAAAUCCCACCCCCCGCA